UACGUAGGGCGCAAGCGUUGUCCGGAAUUAUUGGGCGUAAAGCGCUUGUAGGCGGCAUGUCAAGUCGCGUGUGAAAUCCCCAGGCUUAACCUGGGAAGUGCGCGCGAAACUGACGAGCUUGAGUGCCGGAGAGGGUCGCGGAAUUCCCGGUGUAGAGGUGAAAUUCGUAGAUAUCGGGAGGAACACCAGUGGCGAAGGCGGCGACCUGGACGGACACUGACGCUGAGACGCGAAAGCGUGGGGAGCAAACAGG
rnacentral:rRNA from 1 species